rnacentral:rRNA from 1 species
UACGUAGGUGGCAAGCGUUGUCCGGAUUUACUGGGCGUAAAGGGCGCGUAGGCGGCCACCGCAAGUCGGUUGUGAAAUCUCCGGGCUUAACCCGGAAAGGUCAAUCGAUACUGCGGGGCUAGAGUGCAGAAGGGGCAACUGGAAUUCUCGGUGUAGCGGUGAAAUGCGUAGAUAUCGAGAGGAACACCUGCGGCGAAGGCGGGUCUCUGGGCCGUAACUGACGCUGAGGAGCGAAAGCGUGGGGAGCGAACAGG